UCAUCAGCACAGGGAAGUACUUCUGAGCAUCAGCAGCUUCUGUGCAGCUCUCAGCAAAGAGUGAGAUGGGAUAAGAUGGGAGAGAGCAUGAGCAGAGAGAUGGAGAUGACCUGAGAGUAUAAAGGUUGAUUGAUUUAGCCUGGGCCCCUAACUGAUCAGGCAAAGGCAGGAAAAUUAUAUUAAAUUCAUUAGUGCAAUUUGCUAGUCCUGGAGCGAAGGCAGCUUUUCUACAUUACCUUCAGGUCUUGUAAAUCCCUGUGCAAAGCGCCCCGAGAAUAACAGGCAAAAGGGAGCAAGCACACAGACAAGUUGCAAAUUGUGAAACCAUCGACACAAAAAAAGUACACCUGCAAAUGGGCCGUAAUCAUCCUGGAGGAACCUGUGUGCAUUCAGGAAAUGCUCUGCAUGGAACCAAUUGGUGUUUUCUGAGCUGGAAGUAAGUAGGGAAAGGAGGUGGCUGUUCAUCACUUCUGGGUGUUGCUUCAUGACUCUCCCCAGUGCCCAUGAUGAGAUUCAUUGAAAGGAUAAAAGGACACCGAGAAGUUUAGAGGUAAACAUUGCCAGUUCUUCCUCUCUACUUCUCUCUUUCAUUAAGGUUGGGAAAUUGCUCCAGUGAGACAUUCCUCCUUCUCUGGAGAACUAAGGAGUAGAAGUGACUCUGUCUAUUUGCACAUGUCCACUUCGAAAUAUUGCAUCUGUUCAGCUCUUUCCAGCUAAUAUAGAUCUCUGCUCUCUGAAGCAAGCAAGUCUGAGAGCAAGCUAGGGAAGCUGCCAUACAAGAUGACUCCUGCCAUUCCUUACUGUAUCUCCUUCUGCUAAAAGCAAGCCAGGCUUCAGCUGUAGACAGUUUCUCAUUCACUUGGGAGUUACUUGGACAAGUCACAUCAGACUCAGAAGGGAAUUGGGAUCAUUCAGCUCUUCUCUAAAUAAAUUCAGUUCUAGUUUUCCCACUGACUUCACUAAGAGUUGAGACUUUUUGGUAUUGCAGUUGAGAUUUUUGAGGUUAAUAAUGUGAGCCCUCAAGAAAAAGACCCUGUAGAGGAUACCUGUCACUGCCUUAUCUUCUGUCUUGAUGGGUAAAUUUGAACAGUUGGACAUCUUUUCCCCAGAGUUGAUGGCAUUUGGCCAGUCUACUGCCUACCCCUUGCAGAGCUGCCAGGUUUUCAGCCAACAAAUGCUCUGCAUUUAUUUCUGAAAACCGUGGUCUUGUGUCGUGCAAAACCCUUCCUCCACAGGAUGGUGUAUUCAUGAUGAAAACAUCGUUCUGUGAAUUUGUCACAUUCUGUUUGAUCUCUGAUUGCCUACAUAUGCACAGUGAUAUGAUGGGAGCGGUGUAAACAGGGAGAAAGUUGAAUUUGGAAAAGUCCUCAUAUUGCAACGAGCUUGUAUGUCCAGCACUGGCAGAUAUCAAAAUAUGGCCUUGUCAUCCUCAAAGUUAAAUGAUAUAAUUAUUUCAUCUUGAUAAUACUUCCAUUGUAAUUCCUUUAAUAAAUAAUACAGUGGU
rnacentral:lncRNA from 7 species